AGCUGGGCCCGAGCGCCGCGAGGGGGACCGCGAGGACGGAGGCUGGGAGACCCACGACGCCGAGAGGCGAGGGGCGGCCGGGGGGGACGGCGCGCGCUCCGACCGCACGGCCCGGCGGCCCGGGAGAUACCGUCUCAGUACUUUUUGCUGUGGCUGGCCUCAAACCCUAGAUCUUCCUGCCUCCACCUCCUGAAUAGCUAGACCUCCAGCUCCAGUCAGAGCCCAACAUCGGCCUCACAGGGCCAAAGUCAAGGUGUGCUGAGGUAUAAGGAACAGUCUGCUUCUUUUUCAGCUUCUGGGAGCCACCUGCGUUCCUUAGCCUGUGGCCCUUCAUUUAUCUUGAAAGCCCAUGAAGCUGUCACUAUGAUA